GAAAAAUAGUGAGGACAUCAUAACAAUGAAAACAGAAUAUUUGACUGUGUUGUAACCAAUAAGUUUAAAACACAAAUACAUUUCAUAUUGUAGAUGACUCUAAGUAGCCACACAUUGCCUUGAUAACAGCUUUGCACACUCUUUGCAUUCUCGCAAAGAGCUUCAUGAGGUAGUUAUGUGGGAUUAAUUUCAAUGAACAGGUGUGGCUCGUUAAAAGUUAAUUUGUGUAAUUUCGUUCCUUCUUAAUGUGCAGGAUGUGUAUAUAGAAUACCAUUAUUAUGUCUGUUCUGUAGUUGUCAAUAUUAUGUCAAGAACUGCUCAAAUAAGCAAAGAGAAACCACAAUCCAUGGCAAGAACAGCUCAAAUAAGCAAAGAGAAAUGGCAAUCCAUCAUUACUUUAAGACAUGAAGGUCAGUCAAUCUGGAAGAUUUCAAGGACAUUGAACGUUUCAAAAACAAAACCUCUGCAGUCACAAAAACAAGCAAGCGCUUGAUGAAACUGUCCCUCAUGAGAACCACCACUGGAAAUAGGACCCAGAGUUAAUUAGAGUUAAGGAUAAGUUAAUUAGAGUUACCAGCCACAGAAAUCAGCAAUUAACUACACCUCAGAUUGCAGACGCUUUUCUGAUAAAAAGGUGCAAAUCUGUUUAUUUGCCAAUGCCUGCAGGACUUUUGCAAGGGAUGACAAUUUAGAGGUAGGUCGAUAAUUAUCAAGGAUUCUAGAGUCCCCACCCAACUGGCGGAUAACCAGUUUUCCAAACUUUAGGGAUGACUCCCGGAAAGAAUGUUAGAUUAAAUACUGUAUAUGUGUUAGAGCUGGUAAUUUACAAGCCUAGAUGGAAUGUAUUAGCCCCUGAUGUUUUCUAAUUGUCUAUAGCUAGCACAGAAACAAGGUCCUCCUUUUAAUUGAACAGUCUCAGUGAAAACCCUUGGCUCUUCACAUCUGUGUUCCUGCAUGAUUAGUUGAUUUCCAUGUAUCCAUUAAUUCCUCUCUCAAUCAGGGUAGGUAAAACGAUUUUUUCAAAAAGAUAGCCUGCCAACCACAAAUGACAGUAUAAACUCAACACAAAAGCACAGUUUAUGAUUAGUGGUUAUCUUAAGACUAGCUCGAGC
ensembl:lncRNA